CGUGUAGGCGGUCUGUUAAGUCUGAUGUGAAAGCCCCGGGCUCAACCCGGGAAGUGCAUUGGAAACUGGCAGACUUGAGUACGGGAGAGGGUAGUGGAAUUCCGAGUGUAGGGGUGAAAUCCGUAGAUAUUCGGAGGAACACCGGUGGCGAAGGCGGCUACCUGGACCGAUACUGACGCUGAGACGCGAAAGCGUGGGGAGCAAACA
rnacentral:rRNA from 1 species